rnacentral:rRNA from 1 species
CCCACGACUGCAAAACGCGAAGAACCUUACCAAGGCUUGACAUACACCGGAAACAUCCAGAGAUGGGUGCCCCCUUGUGGUCGGUGUACAGGUGGUGCAUGGCUGUCGUCAGCUCGUGUCGUGAGAUGUUGGGUUAAGUCCCGCAACGAGCGCAACCCUUGUCCCGUGUUGCCAGCAGGCCCUUGUGGUGCUGGGGACUCACGGGAGACCGCCGGGGUCAACUCGGAGGAAGGUGGGGACGACGUCAAGUCAUCAUGCCCCUUAUGUCUUGGGCUGCACACGUGCUACAAUGGCCGGUACAAAGAGCUGCGAUACCGUGAGGUGGAGCGAAUCUCAAAAAGCCGGUCUCAGUUCGGAUUGGGGUCUGCAACUCGACCCCAUGAAGUCGGAAUCGCUAGUAAUCGCGAAUCAGAAUGUCGCGGUGAAUACGUUCCCGGGUCUUGUACACACCG